rnacentral:rRNA from 1 species
UGGGGAAUUUUGGACAAUGGGCGAAAGCCUGAUCCAGCCAUGCCGCGUGCGGGAAGAAGGCCUUCGGGUUGUAAACCGCUUUCGGCCGGGACGAAAUCGCAUCGAUGAAUACUCGGUGUGGAUGACGGUACCGGAAUAAGAAGCACCGGCUAACUACGUGCCAGCAGCCGCGGUAAUACGUAGGGUGCGAGCGUUAAUCGGAAUUACUGGGCGUAAAGCGUGCGCAGGUUGUUCUGUAAGUUGGAGGUGAAAUCCCCGGGCUCAACCUGGGAACUGCCUUCAAGACUGCAGGACUAGAGUGUGGCAGAGGGAACUGGAAUUCCACGUGUAGCAGUGAAAUGCGUAGAUAUGUGGAGGAACACCGAUGGCGAAGGCAGGUUCCUGGGCCAACACUGACACUCAUGCACGAAAGCGUGGGGAGCAAACAGG